GAUGAACGCUGGCGGCGUGCCUAAUACAUGCAAGUCGAGCGAACAGACGAGGAGCUUGCUCCUCUGACGUUAGCGGCGGAGGGGUGAGUAACACGUGGAUAACCUACCUAUAAGACUGGUAUAACUUCGGGAAACCGGAGCUAAUACCGGAUAAUAUAUUGAACCGCAUGGUUCAAUAGUGAAAUACGGUUUUUCUGUCACUUCUAGAUGGAUCCGCGCCGCAUUAGCUAGUUGGUAAGGUCACGGCUUACCAAGGCAACGAUGCGUAGCCGACCUGAGGGGGUGAUCGGCCACACUGGAACUGAGACACGGUCCAGAGGCCUACGGGAGGCAGCAGUAGGGAAUGUUCCGCAAUGGGCGAAAGCCUGACGGAGCAACGCCGCGUGAGUGAUGAAGGUCUUCGGAUCGUAAAACUCUGUUAUUAGGGAAGAACAAACGUGUAAGUAACUAUGCACGGCUUGACGGUACCUAAUCAGAAAGCCACGGCUAACUACGUG
rnacentral:rRNA from 1 species